CCAGCCUUAGUUUUUCAACUUACACUUUGGGUGAUCAAAGCAGUUCUAAUAUGGUUUUAAGUACCAUUUCUGAACUCUAUGAAAGGAGUGAGGAACUAGGUGUAAUAAAAAGGUUGAUCUAAAGGGUGGGAUGUAUGUCUGUGGUAAGUGUGGAACUCACUGCGAUAAACCUAAGUUAAGAUAUAAGAUAAAAAUUAGAGUGUAUGAUGCCAAAGGUAGUGCACCAUUCUUACUUUGGGAUCGCGAGGCACUUGAGCUAUUGGGGGGCAUCACAGCUGAAGAGCUUAAGGCUAUGCAGCCAAAGGUUCCAACCAAAAUUCCUAAAGAAAUUGUAUCAUUGGUUGGUAGAGGAAUGCUAUUCAAGAUUAAUGUUGAGAGGGAUCGAUUAGAGAAACGCAACCUUGCUUUUCC